GACGAACGCUGGCGGCGUGCUUAACACAUGCAAGUCGAACGGAAAGGCCCUGCUUUUGUGGGGUGCUCGAGUGGCGAACGGGUGAGUAACACGUGAGUAACCUGCCCUUGACUUUGGGAUAACUUCAGGAAACUGGGGCUAAUACCGGAUAGGAGCUCCUGCUGCAUGGUGGGGGUUGGAAAGUUUCGGCGGUUGGGGAUGGACUCGCGGCUUAUCAGCUUGUUGGUGGGGUAGUGGCUUACCAAGGCUUUGACGGGUAGCCGGCCUGAGAGGGUGACCGGCGAAAUUGGGACUGAGAUACGGACAAGAAUCCUACGGGAGGCAGCAGUGGGGAAUAUUGCAAAAUGGGAGGAAGCCUGAUGCAGCAACGCAGCGGGCGGGAUGACGGCCUUCGGGUUGUAAACAGCUUUCGCCUGUGACGAAGCGUGAGUGACGGUAAUGGGUAAAGAAGCACCGGCUAACUACGUG
rnacentral:rRNA from 1 species